UACGUAGGGUGCAAGCGUUAAUCGGAAUUACUGGGCGUAAAGCGUGCGCAGGCGGUUUUGUAAGUUUGUCGUGAAAUCCCCGGGCUCAACCUGGGAAUUGCGAUGAAGACUGCAAGGCUAGAAUCUGGCAGAGGGGGGUAGAAUUCCACGUGUAGCAGUGAAAUGCGUAGAGAUGUGGAGGAACAGCGAUGGCGAAGGCAGCCCCCUGGGUCAAGAUUGACGCUCAUGCACGAAAGCGUGGGGAGCAAACAGG
rnacentral:rRNA from 1 species